GAGGCGGUGGGAGACUGCGCGUCCCGCCAGGCAUUGUCCUGCCGGCUCGUCCGCGGUCCGGGGCCCUGCCCGCGGGCCUGGGAGCCGUCCUGCCUUCGUGGGUGGGAGCGCUCCCGCCUCCAUGGGAGCACUCCCGCCUCCAUGGGAGCACUCGCGCCUUCAUGGGAGCACUCUCGCCUCCAUGGGAGCACUCCCGCCCCACGGGGGCCGCGGGACUCUUCUCCGGGAGCAGCUUUCGGCCCUCCGGAGCGUCCCCGGUGCGACCGCAGCGCCACAAGUCCGGCGAAGGGAAAGGGAAAACUUGCGGCUUCUCGAGCAAUGUCGAGGCUUUUGUUUGUCCGUUGUUGUUUUAAAUGCUCGCAGCCGGCAGUAGUUCAUUAAAAGCGUCACAGGCACGGACAGCCUUAGGAGAGGAAAAAUGUAUGUGGGCUUCAGAAUUACUGUUCAGAGUGCAAGACCAAAAUUGGCUGACAGCGUUGAUUGCCAUCCAGUUGCAAUAUUCCGUGCAGUAAUUCACUUUUAUGUGUUUUGGGCUGGGGGUUUUCACACAUUCAUUCCCCCAAACAGUCCUUUUCAUCACUCUUCUAUUGGUGUUAUUUACUGUUUUAAGCAUGGACUGAUGCAUUCAUACAAAUGUGUUUUUUUGCCUAGGGAAAGAAACCUUUGGGGCUUGCGUGAUGUCAAGUGAAAGUAAAUGAAUGUAAGAAUUGCGGUAGCAGAUCAGGUUUGCUCUCCACCGUGCUUUUUGUUUCUGUCUUUAUCUGUGCCAGAUGUAGCCAAGCAAAAAGGAAAUAUAUACUUGGCUUAAGCCAAGUAUGAGUAAAACUUGGCUAUUUUUGACAGUAAAACUGUUUUUGACAGUCAAGACCAAUGAAAAGUGGUACUUUUCCCAUGUCUGAAGUUCAAAUAUUGUGAGUAGUUAAAGGUGACUGAAUUUUGGGAAGUGAAGCAUACAUAUUGUAUAUAGCCUUUAUGGAGACCGAUGUAGUAACGUGUUGGAUACACACAGCAUAGCAAGCAAGUUGAAGGGUAUUAAUUCCUUUGUCAUUAAAGAUGGAGGAAAAUGUAAAAGGUGUAACAAUAAACUCUUGAUAACUUUUCAACUUGGUGGAAAAAGUGCUGGAUGAAUAUGGUGUCAUACUCACUCCAUCAUCAGCCACAUAGUUUAUACUGCCAAACCAGAAAUACCAACUACUCUCAUAGAAAUGAGAACAGAUUUUAGAUGGUCAUUUAGCUCAGUCUUAGUGGAAAUGAUCUCUAUAUUAUUGCUCAUACAGAUCACUUUCCCAUAUUAAUUCUGACACACCAGUGUAGGCAUAACAGUUUGGGGUGAGAAACUGCUUGGCCCCAGUUUGGUAUGUAAAAGACAAGAUUGACCCUUUGUGGGAAGGUAAAUGACUGAAUUUACUGCAGUGAAAGAGUUAGAUGCAGCAAGAGAACUUAAUCUGUGCAAAAGCAUAGGAAAGUAAUUACGUCCUAUAUUCAGCAGGAGAAAGGCUAGGUGAAUUUAGGGGAAAUCUGAAUCGAUGGCAUCACUUUAUUUUAUGCUUAAUUGUGGCUUUAAUGAUUUUUAAAAAAGAAAAAAAAAAAGUUGUAGACAUGUUUGGGAGCACGUUUUAUGCAGCUGAUGUCUAAUAACGAUACUGCAAAAAAAGACACCACUAUUAGAACCACAACUGAAAUACGGUCAUACAGUAAGUCCCUACCAUUUGCCUCAUGACCAAAAUCCCAGGAGAGCCCAGACAUUGGAACUUUGCAAGCUUGGGGAUAGCUAGCAAAAUUCUCAACAAGGCCUACUGUGCCACAGUGUUUUAUGUGUAUUGUGGUGCCCAGGAGACCAAGGAACACAGCUCUUGGGGCUGUGUCUCAGUCACUUCCAUUAGUUAUGGUGUAUGCCCUGUGUCUGUUAGUGAAUCAGGAAAAUGAAAUUCAGCUAUGCCAGCAGAAGGACAAAGUACUAGUGGGGCUGGCUGCUGUCUGCAAGGUGUGAGUUCCCCCUGUUUAUUUGUAGUGGUUUAUUGUAAUGUGAGAGGCUGUUAUAGAAACACAGACCUGCUCAAAAAACUGCUCACUGUAGUGCUUUACAGGAAGAGAUGGCAGGGAAUUGUGAGGUAAACUACAAAUGAAAUACAAUUCAAUUUGUUCACUAUCUGUUGAAAAGAAAUCAGGAACUUAUUUAUUUACCUGUAGGCUUCUUUAGUAUUUUUUUGGCAAAUGAAGAUGCUCAUGUUUUUCAUUUCUGCCCAUACUAAUUUAUGUUGUGUAAUCAAAUGACUAGCCACACCAACUUGACUAGGAUUGCUUGUGUAAGUGCUGUUUAUCAUGACAUACCAAUGGCACUGAGUUUAGGCUGACAUUUAAGAAGUGAUAAGCCUACAGACCACAAAAAAUACUGUUUUUGCAAUAGAAAACUUCCUGUUUAUAAAUGCAAAGAAUUAACUCUAUUGAUUAGCUUAACUUUUAGAACAGCCUAAUUAGAACAGUUCCUGAUAAGGAAACAGGGAUUAAUGACUGUUUAUUGGAAGGCAAAUACAGUGAAAAAGAACUAAACACAAGCUGUGAAUUCAAGGUAAAAAGAAAUUCAAUUUGUGCGUUAUAAUCAACACUGCUCAAAAAACUCCUUUGCAACUACAUGCCUGCUUAGCACAAGAAGUGAAAGGAGACCACUGGAGCUGCUGUUUUCUCCUGUUUAUAUAAUAUUAUUAAUGUUGAUGGCAUUUCUCCAGCAAAUGUUUCAUAUAAAUCAUGUUUCGUCACUGUGACGGAGUGAUGGCAUGAAGGAGUAUUACAGAUGUCCUGUAAUCUACCUAAAGCUAAUUGCUUGCUUAGGUUUCAUUAGUUCUCAACAGACAGGAAAAAAAAGCUGAUUAAAAACAUAAAUUUAUGUUUGGAUAUACACUUCUCAGAUGGGGAUUAAAAUUUUCAAAUCUCCCUCUCUUCUGCACUUACCCAUUCCAUAUCCCUGUAAUGUCCUUUUUCUAUUCUAAUUUAUUCUAUCUCUUCCCAUGUGUAGAGCUGUUUGACACAUUAACUCCCAUAAUUUCCAUCUUUGUGUUGCAUCUGCUGAUACCACCCUUCGCUUCUUCCUUCCAAAUCCAUUCUUAUCUUCUGAGCUGCAUGAUUGCUGGAGCUUUCUGUACCCAUUUAGGACUGUCACAGUUUUGUAUUUACUUCAGUACUCUGAUUUUUAACUCUCGUCUAAUACAGUGUUUCUGGAUUUACAGUCCUUUUGUUUCUUUGUUUUCAAGAAGGACACAUUUCUAAUGAUAUUAUUUGAAAAUAUCAGGAAAGAUCUACCUAUCCCAUCCCUAGAUUGAUAUUCCAGGUCUUGGCUAUUGCUGGUAGGUUCCUGUGCUUUGGUUUCUCACAAGGGAGCCUCCCUGCCUGUGGCACUCAGAGGUUGCAGAUGUACACCUGCAUGUUUCUGAUGGCUCUCACAAGAAAUUCAAGACAGCAACAGCUAAGUGGAGAGCCUACCACCUAAAACUGCAAGCCUGGCUAGCUCUUGAGCUACCAGAAACUAGCAGUUUGUUUUUCUUUGGCACCUGCUCUUGCUGCCCUACAGCAGUCCUGUGUGGCAGGCCAGAAUCCAUUCACCACGGUGCCUGUGUUGUGGAUUGCAGCGUUCCCAGCAGUUCUGGCUGCCAGUGUCAGUAUCAGGCCUGCUGCUCUCCUCACAUGUUUUCAACUAUUUUCUUGUAAUUCCUCCUCACAUCCUGUUUGUUGCCUGCUAUUUUUCUGCUGUUGCAGCUGUUUUUUCCAUUCUUUGCAGUCCUCCCAGUUUUGCAGUCCAGCUGUCCCUCCCAGCUGCCAUGAACUCCACCAUCUCCCAAAUUCCACCCUUUCUGCUGCUGCAGGGGCAUCACCCACAGCCUUAUUCUCCCUUUGCAGGAAAUAACUAUCAUUCCUGCUCUACUGCACACCAUGGCUAUUGGAGGACAUUAGUUAAAUAACUGAAUUGUCUUGAGACUGAGAACUAUGUAAGGAUUACUGCAUGAUUGUAUUUUUUCUGAGCAAUCAACUUUAUGUGAUGGGAAACUCCAUCCGAAGUUGGAUCAUAGGAAAAAGCUGUGUCAGAGUUUUAAGUACAUAAUAUUACCCUAGUCUAGUGCAGCACUAUGCAGGAACUUCUCACUUCUGUGGAACAAUCUCUCAAAAGGGCAACUUUGGCCCAGAAAUAUUGUGUCUGGAUGGCAAUCUCUCUUGAGAAAUCAGUUUCCUUUUCUGUUUAUUACAAACUCUCUUGGAUUCUGAGAUUCACAUUCCUGUUUCUGGAAGGAAAUCCAUGACCCUAGAUAAUUUAACAGUCAACAGGAAAAUGGAACUGCCAUUUAUCUUUCAGCUUGACUUUGUGAACAGACUCAGGCAAUUAUAUCUCCAUCUUUUAGUUAAUUUUAUCUGCUACAGACUCAGUUAAAUUUGCUUGCAGAUUUCAGUUAUUUCCUGAAUAUCUGCAGGAUAUGAGCAAUUGCUGUUUAUAUAUUAAUCACUGAAAUGUUUUAUCCUGACUUGCUAAGGAAAUAAAGCUUACAUGAGCAAUCC